AGCACGGGGUGAUAAGUUAUCACCCCGUGCUAGUUAUCACUGAUAACUAGUAAUACAACUUGACCAAGCCUAUUUUAAUGUCAAUCGACGAUUAAAAUUAAUCUACAGUUUAACAUUAAUCUACAGUUUAACGAUCGACGAAAUUAUGCAUUGCCUUGAUAAAGAAAUACCUUCGUCCAUGAUCACAGGACUUCUCAUGGUCACAGGGCUGCCAUGUGAGAGGCAUACAUUAACUUUUUUGGGGUUUUGGGCAGAAUGCUAUUUUUUCGAGAAAAUAUUUUGUUGGAAAAUUGAAACAUUAUACUUAGCAUGAAAGUUCUUCAUCAGUCUUUCGUCAGUCAACACUUCAUAGAAUCACAGAGGUUAGUUCAGCUAUGACUUGUGAGUAAACUAUGGCCUUUGAGAACUCUAGAUCUGAGGACUUGUCAUCUGAGUGAGUUCUUAAUUGUUAAUUGUUCAAGUGUAAUGUCAUAUGCUCAUAUGGUAGAUCAAAAGUUGAAUCUGAGGCCCAAGCCUAAUGAUAAAAACCAGAGUAAAUUUUAGGUUCAUUGAGCAUAAUAGCCAAAUGACAUAAUGAACAAUGAUCCUAGUAAAAUGUAGCAUCCAUGAUCAUCAGAACAACAAGAUGAACAGUCCUUGCUUAUGAUAUUUCCUACAUUGUGGCUUCUCUUAUUGCUAUUUGCAAAGCAAAAUAGAUCUUAAAUCAUUCAUGAUCAUUCAGUCAUAACAUAUUCAGUAGGUAGCCAGUGCCAGGCUAUUGGUUAUCAAUCCCACAACCAACCUCAUGAGUUAGAACUCAGUCACUCACUCUCAAUAAUACUAUCUCAAUAUUUGGAUGGUACUGCUGACACUUCAUUCAGUAUACUCACUACUAAGUGCUUGGCAGUAAGUAGUUAACACUGAAGUAACAACAUGUACCAUCAAGGUACAUGUGAGGGUGUAUGCACAUAAUCUAACAUCCAAUUGCAACUUAGAAUAUAGCAUCCAAUGCCAAAUAUCACCUAAACCUUCAACUGAGGAGUCAUAAUGCAAACCCUCCAAACAAAUUAAGGUUGAUUCAGGACCCAAGAUCCACAAGAUCCCUCGACAAAUUGAAAAUGCAGGAUCCAAGAUCCCCAGGAUCCCUCGCCAAAUUGAAAAUGCAGGAUCCAAGAUCCCCAGGAUCCCUCGACAAAUUGAAAAUUCAGGAUUCAGGAUCCCUCGACAAAAUCUGAAGUGCAGACUGCAGGAUCUAGAAUCUCCAGGAUCCCUUGACAAAUCUGAAGUGCUGGAUCCAAGAUCCCCAGGAUCCCUCAACAAAAUCUGAAAUGCUGGAUCCAAGAUCCCCAGGAUCCCUCGACAAAAUCUGAAAUUCUGGAUCCAGGAACCACCAAGAUCCCAAAUCUUGGAUCCAGCGGAUCCUGGAUCUCGGAUCUUUUUGGGAUCUUGGCACAAGUCUGCUCACAACUUCAAACAUAAAUUUUUCACAAACCAAGCUAUAAAUGAAGCGGGGAAUAAUUUAUAUCACUAGAUUUUUGGUUGUUUGUAGCAACAACUAUUCACUUUGUAAUACAUCAAAAUUUGAGGAAUAUUUGGACAGUUCAAGGACUGUCCAAAUGUUGACAAUGACAGAAUGCUCAAGGACAAUGAACAAUCAGGGCUCUAGGUCUGUGGUAUGUUAAAUAUCAGGUUCCUCCAAUGGCGGUCAAGUCGCGCCUAGAAUGUCGAGCGAGUCAGCGGACACAACUUCGGCAGGUAAAGCGUUCCAGCUGUUCAUGGUACUGGCGCUGAAGCUGUUUCGCCGUGGGGUCACCGCCCUGGGUUUGAGUGGUGACUGGUACCAUUUUCACUAAAUUCUAUAAAUGACAUCACUGGUGCGUUUGCCCACAUGACUGUAGGCAGAAGACCCCGUAGUUCAUAUUUUAUUGAAUAUUAUUUGGGGUUGUGCCCUUAUGAUCGAAAGGAUCAUAACGAACGAAAUUCAUUUCCUUCGUUUAAUGAUCCUUUCCUUGGUGUUGCUAAUUCUGUAUGCUUGGUUAGGCGAAUUUACAAUUGGCUCAGAAUGUUUUUGCACUUAUUGGUUUCAGAUGAAUGUGAAGCUAUCAUGUUCUUUGUGUCACCACACUGACACAGACUUGAGAGAGUUUUGCCUGCAUUUGCGACGACAUGGAUCAGACCCUUAUUUUCACGUGGAUUGCCCGAUGUGUCGCAAGAAGUUCACCACUGUUCGGUAUUGGAAAGAUCAUGUUUUGUCUAGAAAGUGUUCUCCGGUUGAAGCUGCUGGUUGUGCUUCAAAUGCUCCAGAGACAUCUUCGUCUCAAAAUCAACAAGAAACUGGUGUCGAGAUUGAUUCUGACUCUGGUGACAAGGUUGAAGACGACCCUGGUGCUCACGAUGUGAGAAAACAACUGUUAGGACUCAUAAUCAAACUCCGCGCCCAAAAUGUGACCGAAAAUAGCUGCCAUGCUGUGCUGGAGUUCAUUGAGGACUUUUCGAAAGAAGUCAUCCAAGAGUGUCUGAGCUUAUGUGGGGAGGCACCAUGCUGCCAUCUUGAAGAAUAUUAUCAUAAACUCAAGACUCUGAAUGAGCUGAGCAAGUUACAGGGUAGCGACCACCUAGAACGCACAGCUGUCAAGGAGUUUGAAACGGUUGAUCCUGUAUCUGUGACAUUGGGCACAGACGAACAUGGGAAAGAUGAAACGCUCCAAUACUUGCCAGUUACACCUCAGCUUAAACAACUCUGCGAGCAAGUGAAUGCUUGCGAAGAUGCAACUGCAUCACCAGAUGGGAUACUUGGUGGCCUUCAGGAUGGAUACGUCCAUAACAAUAAUAACAGCGAAGGUCGUUUGCUUCUUUCAGUCUACUAUGACAGUUUUCAAGUAGGCAACCCCUUGGGCAGCAGAGCAAAGAACCAGAAAGUGGGCGUUGUUUAUUUUUCAGUGAACAGUCUUAAGAACAGCGCACUUCGCAACAAAAUCAUCCUUUCGGUAGUCUUUCGAGAGGCACUGCUGGCAACACAUUCAUGGGCAACACUGCUCGACCCACUCAUCACCGAACUUAAAGAGCUUGAAUCAAGCGGUUUUGUGGCAAACAUUCGUGGUGGCUCGCAUUUUACUGCACACGUUGCAGUGUUGAUCGGUGACAAUCUGGGCGUACACAGUGUGGCGGGCUUUUCACAGUGCUUCAGUGGGGGUGCAAUGAUUUGCCGACACUGUCAUGGAACGGCAGAUGAGAUACGAACAAAGACGAAGCUGGAAGAGUUUGACCUCCGUUCCAAAGAAGAUUAUGACUCCAAAGUGAAGCUUUUGCUUGAAGAAGGUUUCGGUGAAUCACUCUCGAAAGCGUACGGCAUCCGAAGCACGUGUCCGUUCAGCUCAUUGACGGGCUUUCACCCGAUGACGUCGAUACCCCCUGAUGUGAUGCAUGAUCUUCUAGAGGGCGUUGUGCCGUCCACCAUUGCUCUGGUGUGCGGUGGUUUGAGCUCUCGCGGUGAUUUGUCUCUGAACGAUGUGAACAGAGCUAUCAGGUCAUUCCCAUACAGUCAGGUGGACACAAAUCAUCCCGCCCCGUUACGCCGUGAUGGAAAGGGUAUAACUGUGAAGCAGCAGGCGAGUGAGGCUUGGUGUCUUCUGAGGCUUUUGCCAUUGAUUCUCCUGAGUGCAGGUGUUCUCUCAUCGGCUGUGUCUGGGAGCAAGAUGUACUCCCUGCUCGUGCAGUUAAUCAAAAUCAUGCUCCUACUCACUGUCUUCACGGUGUCACUGCAAGACUUGGAUAUCCUGCAAGGGAUGGUGGAAAAGUUUUUGACAGACCUUCUCGCAUGCUUUCCGGAGUUCAAACUGACGCCGAAGCAUCAUUUCCUCUUACACUAUGCCGAUCAAACGAGGAGACAUGGCCCAUUGAGGUAUCUAUGGAGCAUGAGAUACGAAGCCAAACAUCAAACCUUGAAGCGGUCUGUGGCAAACUCGCGCAAUCGUAAAAAUAUAUGCAAGAGCAUCGCAACUCGUUAUCAGCUGAAGAGUGUCGCAGAUGCAAUGGAACUACGCGGUCGUAUGAGCGGCGGGCAAGCUUUCAGGGGAGAGGUUCCGGAAGCGGCUGCUGCAUUGACGAGAGGGGCACAGCUUUUCAAAAAGGCGCUAAUAAACGGCGAGAAGUACUGCGCGGGUGAAGCUCUGCUGCUGCACACUGGUGUCGCUGUGAUUAUCUGCAUUUGCAAACAUCCAAGCAGCGUUGAGUCGGACAAACAAUUCCUGGUGCAGCACCAGGUGGCCAUUUAUGACACAUCCUUGGGAGCUUUUAUCAUUUCUGGAACAGAUCAAUAUGAUGUAUUCGACUGUGCGAGUCUCGUUGAUCCCCAGCCCCUCGGCACGUACUGGAUCAAUGACCACCACUAUGCCGUUCCUCGGAGGCUGAUACCCGGCUACGGGAUGCUGUAGAACGAUAGGACCACGAUCGCCAUGCUGACCUACGUGGUGCAGCAACACGACAUCAACCGACUUGUGACUGUGAAGAAUAAGGGUGAUGUUUUGGCGGCCGCAAAAGAGGCGUUUUCUCUGUCUGGCAGUUAUUGCUUAGAGCUUUACCACAAGGAGUCCGAAUUGUAUGUUCGCAUCGAUAACCCAGUAGACGACCUACCAUGUGGCGGACGGAUUCGCCUUGUCCCCGUCCAAGUCUCCAGCCCACCAGUGUCAUUCAUCCAAAGAUGUCUCAGCACGGCCGACACCAUCCCCGUCCUGACGAUGACAGCUUCUCCUGGCGCCUUGGGAACUCCCUCCUGUUCCAAGGAUUCAGCAGUGAUCGAUGACCUUUUGGUGCCAUGCUCUUCCUCUGUGAGUUCUGCCGUCGGCGAAACGGCACAGGACCCGCUUGCUCUCACCGACGGCGGGACCAGUGACAACGAGUCCAGCAAGGACGCCGGGACCAGUGCGAG
rnacentral:misc_RNA from 1 species